UACGGGGGGGGCAAGCGUUGUUCGGAAUUACUGGGCGUAAAGGGCUCGUAGGCGGCCAACUAAGUCAUACGUGAAAUCCCUCGGCUUAACCGGGGAACUGCGUCUGAUACUGGAUGGCUUGAGUUCGGGAGAGGGAUGCGGAACUAUCGGUGGAGCGGUGAAAUGCGUUGAUAUCGAUAGGAACUCCGGUGGCGAAGGCGGCAUACUGGACCACAUCUGACGCUGAGGCGCGAAAGCCAGGGGAGCAAACGGG
rnacentral:rRNA from 1 species